CUUACCAUGCACUAAGUAAGCAGCCAGAGACGCCAACCCCAGACCGAAGGGUUACUACGCAGAGGAAAAAGGAAAAUGGGGGGGGGGGCACUUCGGGGAGCAGAACCUUGCCAAGGCUCUAGAGAUCUAACAGUAGGGGCCCUGAAGCGCCUUGGAGGGUGGGGUUCGAGGAAGAUUCCUAGAAGAAGAACCUAAACUGGGACAUUUCUAUUUUUAAUUUUCACCCUAUUCCUAAAACUUCAAAGU
rnacentral:lncRNA from 1 species